rnacentral:rRNA from 1 species
CCUACGGGAUGCUGCAGUGAGGAAUAUUGGUCAAUGGACGAGAGUCUGAACCAGCCAAGUAGCGUGAAGGAUGACUGCCCUAUGGGUUGUAAACUUCUUUUAUAUGGGAAUAAAAUGUUCCACGUGUGGGAUUUUGUAUGUACCAUAUGAAUAAGGAUCGGCUAACUCCGUGCCAGCAGCCGCGGUAAUACGGAGGAUCCGAGCGUUAUCCGGAUUUAUUGGGUUUAAAGGGAGCGUAGGUGGAUUGUUAAGUCAGUUGUGAAAGUUUGCGGCUUAACCGUAAAAUUGCAGUUGAAACUGGCAGUCUUGAGUACAGUAGAGGUGGGCGGAAUUCGUGGUGUAGCGGUGAAAUGCUUAGAUAUCACGAAGAACUCCGAUUGCGAAGGCAGUUCACUGGACUGCAACUGACACUGAGGCUCGAAAGUGUGGGUAUCAAACAGGAUUAGAUACCCGAGUAGUC